ACAAAAGUACCUCACGCAUAGCAAAUGUUCUAGCCAUGAGAGGUGACGAAACAUGCAAGGAACACUUAGACAUGACUUUUGUAGAUCCUAAAAUCUACACUAAGAAAUUGAUAGUGAUCAGAAGUUUAAUCAAGGGAAGAUAAAUGAUGUAGGGAACAAUAUCUUUAGAACACAACGAUGUAAUCAGUUUCCGGUAGGAAAAAAUGGACUUUUAUUGAUGAAUAAGAUCGAAUACAAUGAGUAAAACAAGAUCGAACGUUACAACGAGAUCGAUAAGAGAAAAGAUCUACGAAUGGAUGUAAACAAGGUCAAAGUAUGGGUGUAGCUCUCUCUAGGGUUUUCAACGUGUCCUUUCCUUAUGCAUCGAUCUCUUCUUAUAAUGGGCUGCUUCCGUGAUGCUCGCAACCGUUCCGCAAUCUCCGUAACUGUUCCGCGAUCUCUAGAUCUUCGAAGUCUCCGUCUGGAGUUAGAGUGUUCGCUAUGGGCUUUAACUCUUCGCGGCCCAUUUACUUGAUCGUGGUCCAUUAACGUAUUUUUGUUUCUUCUCUGAGUGCACCUCAAACUCAGCACCUUUGACUCAUUUAUUAUUUUCUAGUCAAAUUUCUCAUUUCCUAGAUGUGUGAUUCCCACAAAUAAUUAUGUCUUUCUUUGACCACAUCUAGUAUAAAUAUGUAAACUCUUUUAUGAAUAAAAUCAGUCUAUGUUUUUGAGUUUAUUUUUGUUUCUUCUCUGGGUGAGAGAGAGAGUUCUUUAGCUAGUUCAUUGGUGUGAACCGGCUUGUUGAUUUGGUGGUCAGCCAAUUCAUCUUUGUGUGUUGUUUGGUGGUUAGCCAACGCACUACAUUCUUUCUUAGGUGGUUAGCCUUAGAUCGUGGGUAUAUCAAGAGCCAUUCCGCAUCUCUUGACGAUCCUUUCAAUCCAUCUCAGUUCCAGAAGUGCCAUUUGCCUUCUCAGGUCAUAUCCAACACCCAACUAAAGUGAUCCUUCAAUUCAGGACAUAUCAAGAAUGAUGCGCCUCAGAUCGUACAACCCACUUCCUGCUCCUUACCGCCAUGGACCAGACUGGUUUGGAUGAACCUGGACAGUAGGCAAAGGGUCAUCUUGACAAGAUCGCAUGGGAAAUGGAGUCUUCGACUAUCUUUAAUACCAGAUCGCAUGGGAAAUGAAGUCUUUGACUAUCUUUAAUAUUUUCAGUCAAUCUUUAUAUUUCCUAGGCAUGUUUUUCCUCACUAUCUUUAUGUCUUUCUUUGACUCAUUCCUGUAGAAAUAUGUAACACAUCUCAUGGAAUAAGAUAAUCGAUUUUUCCUUCUUCUUUUGAGUUUAUACUCUUUGUUCUUUGUAGAACACUUUUAGUUUUCUUGGUGUGGUUAGCUCCAAGUAAACACCUCUUUCUUGUUGGACCGGUGCGUCACAUCCGGCAACAGAUCGAGUUUGCUUUCUUGUCGGACCUGUGAGUCAUAUCAGGCGACAAUCAAGCACCUGGUAGUAUCAUUGGGCCAUCCGCAACCCUUUGUGUCACCGUUCAUUCCUUCAGUUCUCCUUCCUUUCGGAUAGAGUUCAUAUCUUUCCUUACCGGUCGAGUAGUCGUUCCUUAGGGCGCAUCAAGGGGUAUCAGAGCCACUCAACUGGUACUAUCUAUUCAUAUUCUCAUCUAUCCAUCUAUCCUUCAUAUUUUCAACAACAUGUCAUUCAAAAGGCAGAAUGAUACUAUCACUGUUCAAGAAUUCAUAAGUGAAUUUAAGCAGAUGAUCGAGGCUAAGUUUGCUCCGAUCCACAAAAGAAUUGAUCAGUUGGAGACACGACAAAAGCGAUCUGUGCCUAGCCAUGAAAAACCAGAAUCAAGGAGGCUAACAUAUGAAUACUGUUUUAGAAAAAAAAACAUAGGAAUAAUUAUUUGCUUUACCCAUUUACAUCAAUUUAUUUUUAAAGAUCCAUGAUUUCACGAUAAAUAGUGCUUCUAUAUUUAUUUGUUUUACCCAUUUAUAUCAAUUUAUUUUUUUAAGAUCCAUGAUUUCACGAUAGUGCUCCUAACUUCUUUUUUUUUUAUAUUAGCGCAAACAUAUUAUUAUAUAUUACUCCUACUUAGCUAUUUGAAUAAACGAACACUCUGAUAUUUGAAAAUUUUGGACGAUUCUGUUUGUACGGUAAACAAUUUUAUUUCAAAUUAAUACACUAAUGCAAAAAUUUAUUUUGCAAGAUAAUUACACGCAUCUGCAGCAUAAGCUCUUUAUUACAUACGAGCAUAGAUUCUAUAAAAAACGUCAAUGCAAUAUUAUCAUUUAAUUUAAAUAUAUUGUUAAUUCAUAACGCAAGUUUUCAUAGUAUUAAUAACUUCUAAAUUAAUAGUAAAACCUAUCUAAUAAAUUCUAAAUUUAUUUAAUAACGAUAGACAUUAUUCAAUUUAAAGAGUGACAUGGAAGUUGAAGUAUGACUUUCAUUAGGAGAAAACUAUCACAUUUUAAUUAAAACAUAUACAUACCAAGCUACUCACACUAACAAAAGGUUGUUUUGCUCUAGAUAAUAUAAGUUUUUCCUUAAAAUAUUUCUCUGGCAUGAUCAUUGCAUAAUUAUAUGCGAAUAUCAUUAAUCUUAUUAUAUUUGAUUGUUCUUCGUAGAAUUAUGAACGUUACUGUCAUUUUAAUUCAGUCCAAAAAUAUUUAUUAAAACUAACAACAUGAUCCUUAAAUUUUAUUUAUUUAUUUUUGUUUAUAAUAUCGUUUUCAAACUACAAUUUUUUAAAAAAAUGUUUCGUAAAAUUAAUGUAAAUUUAUAUAAAAUAGUUUUUUUCUAACUUCUCGCCUGUAGGGCGGACUAGUUCUAUAUACUUCCAAUUCAAACUGUUUUUUAAAUGAUUUAAUAUAUUCUAGAAAAAUGAUAAAAUUCAUUUUUUUUACACCAAAUAGAUUUAUAUUUCAUAAAGUCUAUAACAAAGUUGCAGGAGCAUCACGCAAAGCUUUCUUCGCCAGAAAACUCAGCUAACAUGUUUUGAGGUCUAGGAGUAAUUGAAACAAGACAAACAUAAAUUGCAAGGACAAAAACUCGAUAUAUGUGAAAACACCGUAGAGCUCUAAUAAGCUCUCGUAAGUCAGAAUAGAACCAAACUUUGGAGAAAGGACGUUAAUUUGUCAACAACAAAAGUACCUCACGCAUAGAAAAUGUUCUAGCAAGGAACACUUGGACAUGACUUUUGUAGAUCCUAAAAUCUACACUAAGAAUUUGAUAGUGAUCGGGAGUUUAAUCAAGGGAAGAUAAAUGAUGUAGGGAACGAUAUCUUUAUAACACAACGAUGUAAUCAGUUUACGGUAGGCAAACAUGGACUUUUAUUGAUGAAUAAGAUCAAAUACAAUGAGUAAAACAAGAUCGAACGUUACAACGAGAUCGAUUAGAGAAAAAAUCUAAAGAUGGAUGUAAACAAGGUCGAAGUAUGGGUGUAGCUCUCUAUAGGGUUUUCAACAUGUCCUUUCCUUAUGCGUCGAUCUCUUCUUAUAACAGGCUGCUUCCGUGAUGCUCGCAACUGUUCCGCAAUCUCCGUAACAGUUCCGCGAUCACUAGACCUUCGAAGUCUCCGUCUGGAGUUCGAGUGUUCGCUAUGGGCUUUAACUCUUCGUGGCCCAUUUACUUGAUCGUGAUCCAUUAACAUAUUGACCAAAAUUGGGUCCAACAUUUGUCCCCCAGCCCUUUUGGUUUAUUGGGAAACCGAAAGGGUGAAAACUGACAUAGCCCGACGUCGUCGCGAUUCUCGGGAAAUGGGCCGUCACGCGCAUCGGCUUGAUUUGACUUGUCUGCCAUUUUUCAAAUCGUGUGGUUGAGAUCGAUAGUUUAUCGCCGGUUAAUUGUAAACGCUUCGGGAACCGUAUUUUUUUGCGUAUAUAUAUUAUAUUUUACCGAAUAUAUCAUCUUCUUCAACACCACGAUUCUACUUUCUCUCUCACUGUCUUCCUCUUGGUGCUUUUUCCUGUUUCGAAUCUAUGGCAUCUGAGAAAUUCGGUCCUCAUCUCCCGACGAUCCUCGAGGCAAAACAUAUCGAGGCCAUCUACGAACUCUGGGGAGUCGAUUCUGCCCUCGAGAUCAAACUUCCUGAUGAUGAUGAAACUCCGGAGACUGUGAGGCCGGGGUACUGUGGGGCCUACAUGUCGCAUUUCGAAGACAGAGGCUUGCCAUUUCCUCUUCCUCGUUUUCUUCUUAACGCGCUUGCGGAGCUUGGGAUGGCCUUUUCCCAGAUGGCGCCUAAUUUCUUUCUCUACUUCUUGCCUUCGUGGAUCUGAGCUAGGGGGGAAGGUCUCGAGUUUGGCCUUGAGGAGUUAAAGCAACGGUUUGCUAUUAAGAGAAACAGUAGCUUUCCUGGCACCAUGAUUCUCGCUCCCGACCCGACCGUUCUAUCAUAGACGGUAUCCCUAACAGGGAUGACCGGUGGAGGGAGAAGUUUUUCGUUUUCAAGAUUAACCCGGCGUCGGUCGGUGACUUCGAUUUCGGAAGGAUUCCUAGGGAGUGGUCUGACGGGAUUGGUAAGUUUUUUUUCUUUUUCGAGGUGAAUUUUACUCUUCGAUCUCUUUUGGCGUUUUUAAAUUUUCUCCACUUAUUUGUAGAGCCCUUUUGUCCUGUGCCUAUGACUCCAGAGCUUCGUGGAUUAAUCGCCACUCUCCGGCGAGGUAGCCCUCGAUGGCUCGCAUUUACCGUAGAUCAAAUUCGAGCUGCUUACGCUCUUCCACCGGGUGGAAACCGUGCUACUCUUAUUGGUCUGGUCGCUCCUGUUCGACUGGGGAAGGGUCAUCGUAACAUAAGUAAGUUGACCUUUUAUCCUUUUUCGGAAAUAUCCGAAAUAGAUUGUUUGCGCGUCCCUCAAUUCCCCAAAUAUGUUUCGUUAAGGGGAAAGGGAGAAGGAGGCGUUACCCGAUCGUCCUGACGAGUCCUCUGAAGUCGGGUCGUUGGAACGAGCUCAGAAAGCUUGACGCGGACCGACUCUUAGAUCGAGGUCGCAGGCUCAGUCUCCUGGUCUUUUGGCUAGGCCGGUGUCGAUCGCCGUUCCCGUGGGUGGGGCUCGAAGGGCGCCGACCACUUCAACCGGUUCUGUCGGUGAUCGAGCUCUUGAUGACGACGUCGAUUCAUCGAUUCACCGACGCCGACGUUCUAGAGGAAAUCAAUUCUGUGAGUUCGAAUUCGCCGGGCUCGGGGCUUCCUCCGCCGUUGCGAGCUUCUAGUGAAGGUACUUCUCAGGUUGACCCGAGCGCUCAUCUUCCGGACAUGCAGGAGACCUCUUCUCUGAGAUUUUCGUAUGAUAACGAGGUACUAAUCCUUGAGAACCCCGAGAGUCUUGCUUUGAUCUGGCGUAAGAUCAGAGAGAAGGGAUGUGAGCUUCCUUCUUUGGGAGACAUGAGAGAGUGUGAUGCUUAUGUUCGGAUGGCGGUCACGAAUGCUAAGGUAAUCUAUCUCGCGAUUGCUUCCGAUGUUCCAUUGAAUUAAAUGAUGGCUGCCUGAACUUUGUUUAGGCUAUGGAGACGAGCACUGAAUAUGUCGCUUUGAUGGAGAGGCGGUUGUCUAACUUUCCGAGCAAAGAGGAGGUCGGAGGUCAUCUUCUCACGAUUCAACAACUCCGAGGUGAGUUGGAGGCUGGUCGAGUGAUGGAGAAGCAACAUGAAGUCGAGGUUGAGGGAUUGAAGGGGAAGUUGGCUGCUACUGAGACGGAGAAGGUUGUUGUCCAGAAUGACCUCGACUCGAUGAAAGAAAAGCAUAGGCAGGAGAUCGAAGGUCGCGAUGCGGCAGCUCGUAAGGAAUGCAAUCUUGCUCGUCGUUCUCUUGCCCGGAAUAUGACGGGGUUCUGGCCGUGGUGAAGGAUAAGCUUCGGAAAACGAAGAAGGAGACGGCUGCAGAUAUUCGUUUGCAGGAGGUGCGAGCUCGUAUUGAGGCUUUGAUAUGACUUUCUUUCUGUUCAGAUGAGUAUAGUCAUAGAUAGAUCCAUCCUAGGCCAGCUAUGCAUGAUUCUCUUGACCAAGCAGCAUCACUGUUGCACACGACCGUCUAUGGUGGAGGAGUGAGGAAGGCUGAGAUUCUACACAGGGAAAGACACCCUUGUUGAGCCAUUUGCCAUUAACGAGCCGAAGCGAGAGCGGAGGAAAUCGUUGACCCUGCAGAGAUGUGGCGAUUCUCGAAGACGAGCCGAUUCCUCGUGAUCCACAGAAACCAACAUACCCAUGAUGGAAAUUUCACAUAUAACCCGAUAGGAGGAAGACAUAUCAAUAAAGACAUCUCUGAUGAAAAGUCAGUUAUAAGGCAAAAAGCCCAAAUCCGAAGAAUCUAUCUGAAUCUGAUCCAAAAAAAGUAAUAUCAAAUCUAAACUGAGUUUGGUUAAAUAUCUGAACGAGUUCAAAACUUUGGUAUUUAGAGAAUCUGAACCAAACUUGAUUCACACCAAAAUAUUUUAAAUGUCAAAAUAUAUCUACAGAUUUAUCUAAGUAUUUUGAAUAUCAAAAUAUAUCUUCAGAUUUAUAUACUUAGAUGUAUUAGUUAUCUUUAGAUUUAAUAUCCAAAAAUAUAAGAUAUUUUGAAAUUAUCUAAAAUAAUUGAAAAUACAUACAAAUAGUCAAAAGUAAAUAUAUUAGAUAAAAAAUACUCAAAAAACCAAAAAUACUAAAAUAUAUUCAUCAUAAUAUUCAAGUUAAACCAAUAUUUAUGUAAAGUUUAGGUAUUUGGCAUACAUAGUUCAAAUUUAUAUGUUAAAUAUUAUUUCUUAUUUUUAGAUUUUGAGAAAUUUAAAAUAUACGGAAUUUAAAACUAAAAAAAUAAUUUAAACAUGUUAUCCGAACACGAACCGAAGACGCAAAGAUCCAAAUUGAAUACGAACCAAAAUUUAUAAAUACGAAAAUGAGGUUAGAAUUUUUAACCCCGAAAACCCAAAACCGAAUAGACCCAAACCGAUUCCAGAGAGCUACCUGAACGCUUACUCCUGGUUGUAUCAAAUGAAAAUUGAAAAAUUUUACUUAGUCCAACCAUAAUAUAUACAUCCAUAUCAGAAAAAACUGAACAAACUGAAACCUGACACAUUGAACUUAAAAUCUACUAUCGAGUUUGAAAAUCCAUAAAUAUAAAAGAACUAUUCAACUCGAUCGAGUCAAACCCCGAAAUACACCCUUUUAACUUCCUCACUUGUCUUUCUCUUCACUUUUCCUUUCCGUCACAUAAAUCAAUUCAAGAGAUUUAGGGUUUACAAGUGGAAAUACAUUACUAGUUGACGUACGAGACGAAGUAGAAAAUGGACGUACGAGACGAAGUAGAAAGGGGUAGCAAAGAAAUUGAAACCGAAGGGGGUUUUCCAACAACUGUUCCGACCAUGGCAAAGUGUGGCAUACUUGGACAAGAGAGUACUAUGACCAUGACCGUCAAUAUUCUUGUAGAUUAAACGAUGAAAAUCUCUCCAGAAACAACCAGGCAACAAUAUGUAUUUAUUUCAGGAAGAGAAAAGUAGAAGUAGGUAUUAAUUGGAAUAAUUACACUUUAUGUUAUGAAAGAACUAAGUAGAAAUGCUAGAGGUUACGCUGUUUGGCAUAGAACAACUAGGUGAAACUUACUUUUUGUGAUAACACUAUUUGUAUUGCAUGAAGAAGAGGAUGAAAAGGAGCCAAUGCAACCACUACAAAUGUAUUUCAAUCAUACGGCGUAUAACAAGCAAAUCAAGAACUAUACAAGGUGUUUUAUCACAAAAGCGGCAAAAUCAAUGGGUUUCUUAAGACAUCGCUGAGUAGCAGCGAGUAGAGAUGGUUUGAGACACAUGCUCAGUUCAAACACUUCUUCCACAUGCUCAUGACAAAAACCACAAGAUUAAGGGAAUGCAGAUGCUCUUACUUCGAAAUGUUUGUAUAGAGAAGAAAAAUAGAAGCUUGGUUCGCGGUGAAUGGGACUCAUGCAUUAGCUUUAUGGUCCACCUUGCCACACUUGUGACAUGUUCCAGAGAACUUCACAUCUUCCGUUGGCUUUUUAAAGCUCGUGGUUCCUUUUGGAGGAAUUUUUCCUUUUCCCUUAUUCUUGUAGCCAAGUUUACAUCAUUUUUACGAAGAACAACAUCGGCUUCACAGUUUCUAGAUUCAACCUCGCGGCUUGACAUUCAAGUCCUCGAGGGAAAUUUCCUUACGCUUAUGUGUGAGAUAGUUCUUGAAGUCCAACCAACUAGGAAGGAGCUUCUCAAUGAAGGAAUUGACCGUGAAAAUUUCACAAAUCGACAUCCCUUCAGCCGCUAUCUCAUGCGUAAUCAGUUGGAAGGCAGUAACUUAUUCCAUGAUGGGUUUUGAAUCCACUAUUUGAAGUGAAAUUUUUCGGUAGCAUAUUUCUGACAGCUUGCAUCCUAAGACUUGUAUUUCUUUCCCAAAGCAGUCCAAAGCUGCUUGAAAAUUUUUCCUCACUGUAUACAGCAUACAGCAGGUCAAUCCAGCGGCUUAGAAUCCAACCUUUGCACACAAAGUUCGAAUUGUUCCAUGUGUCCACACUAGCAAAAACCAUGGGAUCCGUGUUUCCUGAUGGGAGAAUGGGUGGAUCUUGUUUCAGAUACUUAUUCAAAUUCAAAUUGGUCAAAAAGAAUUGCAUCUUUUGUUGCCAAGUUUUUAACCCAUUCCCACCAAACCUUUUGGACAUAUACGCUUUCAGCAUCAUGCACUGAUUGGUUUUCAUGUGGCAGACCACUUACAAAUUGAGUUUGGAGUGUCGACUCACUUGAACCAUUUCCGUUAAGACCACCUCCAACGGUUCCAAAAUCGAUUGGUGCAUUCUUGUUUUGUCCACAGAAUUGGUUUUUGGACAAUGGUGCACAAUCAGCAACCUCUAACGCCACUGAAAGCAAGACUUCAGAAGCUGAUGAAGGCACCAAUAGACCCCCGGGUGUGAAGGCAUCUAUGGCACGUGGUAAGAAGACGGUUGAGGGGAAGGGGCUGUCUGAAUUUCAGACAAUGUGGUCCAUUAAACAGCAGGAUCUGGCCAUGAAAGAAAAACUCUCGAAAAUGUCUCUGCUUGACGGCCUAAUUGGAAAAAAGAACCACUAUCUGAGUGUGAGGAAGCUCUAAAGAAGAAGCUGAUUAAUGACUUGUUGGCUGUUUAAGUUUAUGUUUGGUUCAUCUGUUUAAUCUGUUCUAAUUUCUCUUAUAAGUUGUUGUCUUGGAGUUUUAGUUUCUGUUUCUGUUUCAUGUUCUGGUUCUGUAAUGGAGUUUUAGUUUAUGUUUCUGUAAUGGAGUUUAUGUAUUAAAGUUUCUGUUUGUUGUUCUUGUUCUCUUUAUUAAUUUCACUAAUAUUAAAGUUUGUGUUUCUUGUUCUCUUGAUAUCAGUCGAUGGUUUGGUGGUUUACUUGUUUUCGGCUUUGAUUUUUAGGUUGAUGGUUUACAUAAUCAGUCGUAGUCGUCCUGCUCAAUACUUACAUUGUAUCACUGGUUGAUGGUUUGGACAAAGGAGCAUCCUUGUCUCAUUAAUCACGGGCUCAGUUCUUCUGCUCAGGCUUUCUAUUCUUGUGGUCACACUAUCUUGUAGUUUUGUGGUCAGGUUUUGUAGUUUUGUGGUCAGGUCUUGUAGUCUUCUGCUUGUAUUUUAGUGGUCUUGUUUUGUUGUAUCACGGGCCGGUAUCACGGACUUUGUAUGUAUCAAACUUCAUCAGUCAUUAUCUCUCUUUUUAUAAAUAAAGUCUUCAAAACUUUGUA